rnacentral:misc_RNA from 1 species
GAUGAAGAACGCAGCAAAAUGCGAUAAGUAGUGUGAAUUGCAGAAUUCAGUGAAUCAUCGAAUCUUUGAACGCACAUUGCGCCCCUCGGUAUUCCGUGGGGCAUGCCUGUUCGAGCGUCAUUUACCCCUCAAGCACUGCUUGGUGUUGGGCGUCUGUCCCGCUUCGCGCGCGGACUCGCCCCAAAGGUAUUGGCAGCGGUCGUGCCAGCUUCUCGCGCAGCACAUUGCGCUUCUCGAGGCGGUCGAUCGGCGUCCACGAAGCUCACCUCCACCGUUUGACCUCGGAUCAGGUAGGGAUACCCGCUGAACUUAAGCAUAUCAAUAAGCGGAGGA